AAUGAAACCAGAUAUGACUUAGUGGCGGACGGGUGAGUAACACGUGAGCAACCUGCCUUUCAGAGGGGGAUAACGGCUGGAAACGGUCGCUAAUACCGCAUGACGUGUUCGGAUGGCAUCAUCUGAACAUCAAAGAUUUAUCGCUGAAAGAUGGGCUCGCGUCUGAUUAGAUAGUUGGGUGGGGUAACGGCCUACCAAGGCAACGAUCGGUAGCCGGACUGAGAGGUUGAACGGCCACAUUGGGGCUGAGACACGGCCCAGACUCC
rnacentral:rRNA from 1 species